ensembl:lncRNA LINC01505 long intergenic non-protein coding RNA 1505
ACUGGAAGCUCUCAAACGAGGCUGGCAGAAGCUGAAAUUGAAGUGGUCUCUGACCUAAUUUUCUUCUGCAUGAAACAUCUGCAUCAAGGCUCUCUUUGAUGUAUUCCACUUGGCUCUGUCUACGGGAUUGUAUCACAUGGACUCGGUGUUGCCUCCUUAUUGAAAGACAUUUCCAGCCUUUGCAAGAUGGCCGGUUUGACACAAAUUAGAACAACCUUGAUAGCUGUCAACUGGAGACUAUCUGAGAACAAAAGGACAUUAUUGCAAACCAGCACUGGAGCAACUCUGAAAGAAGAUAAAAGUACAUGAAGAAAUCAUUUGCAGGCACUGGACAAAAAAGAGUGCAAAACUAUAAUCUUGAGAGCAGGACACACACAGACACCUGGCAGGAGACAGAAACUCACAUCAUUCCUCCUGACCAUUACUCCUCCAGAGAGAACCUUGUUCCCUGGCAGAAAGCUUCAGUGCUAAAACUAGCAAAUACCAACAGGUUUCAAAGACUAUGGAUCUUAAGUCAUGAGACUGGAGAAGACACCAAAGCCAGGACCAUUUGAUUCUGGAAGAACAUGCAAGUGUUCUAUGACAUUGAUAAACCAUUGGCCUCAUUCUGGUAUUUGGCCAUUUAUCACAGUAGUUAAAAUUGCCAGCCUGUUCUUUGUUACAUCCUAUAAGACAAUUUCUUUUCUUUUCUUUUUUAUCCUUUUUCUUCAACUUGUUGCUGGCAAAUAAAUUGCUGAUACAUUCA